rnacentral:rRNA from 1 species
AUUUAUCGCCGAAGGAUUAGCCCGCGUUCGAUUAGCUAGUUGGUGAGGUAACGGCUCACCAAGGCGACGAUCGAUAGCUGUUCUGAGAGGAAGAUCAGCCACACUGGGACUGAGACACGGCCCAGACUCCUACGGGAGGCAGCAGUUGGGAAUCUUGGACAAUGGGGGAAACCCUGAUCCAGCCAUGCCGCGUGAGUGAUGAAGGCCUUCGGGUUGUAAAGCUCUUUUACCCGGGAAGAUAAUGACUGUACCGGGAGAAUAAGCUCCGGCUAACUUCGUGCCAGCAGCCGCGGUAAUACGAAGGGGGCUAGCGUUGUUCGGAAUUACUGGGCGUAAAGCGUGCGCAGGCGGCUUCCCAAGUCAGUGGUGAAAGCCCGGAGCUCAACUCCGGAACUGCCAUUGAAACUGUGAAGCUCGAGGACGAGAGAGGUGAGUGGAAUUCCCAGUGUAGAGGUGAAAUUCGUAGAUAUUGGGAAGAACACCGGUGGCGAAGGCGGCUCACUGG